AAUUUACCGACAUAACGUGUUACUUCGGCAGUGUUGUUCGAAUUUUUCCAUAGAACGUGAUGUUUUCGCAUCAAAGGCAACCCGGCCACUGUAAUUUCACAACAAACACACCCAUAAUUUAAAUACUAGUAAUUGUUUCCUAAAUGAUGUGCUCAACUUAUAGAGAACGACAAGCUUCAAGGGACAUCUGUCAAAUAUUAAAAUACACACAGUUAUGUAGUCGUGCAGCUGUUUAAAUACGUGUGUCCGUGGCGCCAAUUGGAGAUACCACGCGAAGCCAGGUCCUUCUCCACCUGGUCUUUCCAACGGAGUGGAGAUCUUCCUCUUCCUCUGAUUCCUCCGGCGGGUACUGCGUGGAACACUUUCAGAGCUACAGUGUUUUCGUCCAUCCGGACAACAUGACCUAGCCAGCGGAGCCGAUGUCUUUUAAUUCGCUGAACUAUGUCAAUGUCGUCGUAUAUCUCGUAGCAACUGUUGGCAAAAGACAUUCUUCGUUGGAUUUCGAGGCAGAUGUUGUUGUUGGUGUUGAUACUGGUUCCAAGGUCGACGAAAUUAUCUACAACUUUUUCGCACACUUUUAUUUUACUUUUUUUGGAACGAAGUUCCUUACGGCAGGCUUGGAGAAGAUAGGGAUUUUGCUGCGGAACCUAACUGAAAAAAAGUGAUAGUAAAACCGUAAGAAAUAACCCGUAAGAAAAAGACUGUAAGAUCGCUAGUUAUAGCCUACCUUUAGGUUUUGCAAAAUAAUUAGGCAUGAAAAUCUGUAA